rnacentral:rRNA from 1 species
CCUACGGGAGGCAGCAGGUGGGGUAAUUUUGGACAAUGGGCGCAAGCCUGAUCCAGCAAUGCCGCGUGCAGGAUGAAGGCCUUCGGGUUGUAAACUGCUUUUGUACGGAGCGAAACGGUCUGCCCUAAUACGGUGGGCUAAUGACGGUACCGUAAGAAUAAGCACCGGCUAACUACGUGCCAGCAGCCGCGGUAAUACGUAGGGUGCGAGCGUUAAUCGGAAUUACUGGGCGUAAAGCGUGCGCAGGCGGUGAUGUAAGACAGAUGUGAAAUCCCCGGGCUCAACCUGGGACCUGCAUUUGUGACUGCAUCGCUAGAGUACGGUAGAGGGGGAUGGAAUUCCGCGUGUAGCAGUGAAAUGCGUAGAUAUGCGGAGGAACACCGAUGGCGAAGGCAAUCCCCUGGACCUGUACUGACGCUCAUGCACGAAAGCGUGGGGAGCGAAACAGGAUUAGAUACCCCUGGUAGUCCACGCCCUAAACGAUGUCAACUGGUUNUUGGGUCUUCACUGACUCAGUACGAAGCUAACGCGUGAAGUUGACGCCGNGGNGAGCGCGAGUGAGUAAGAGUAGAGNGNGAGAGNGCGAGNGCGAGAGGAGNG